UGGCGAACGUCUUUACCUGCUGCGCCAUCUUGUCAGUCCCUGCCCAAAGCUCCGGGGAGCUUCCUUCUUAACUGUCCACACUCUGAGUGGAAGAGGCCAAGGGCUGACAAAAUAAGGGAAGGAAUUGAAGCAGGGAAGGGAGGGUGUCAGGUCAGUCAGACCCAGUGCACCUUGUCCUUCCUCCCAGGUCUCCACCCUGGCUUCUGGGAAGAGGGCUGGCUUUCUUCUGCAGUCAGAGAAAACUGGCAUUGGAGGCCUGAGUCUCUGCUUUUUGUUCUAGUGUCGCCACCAAAAAUGUUGUAUGAGCUUUGCCAGAUUUUCUCAGCCUUCACAAACCUCAGUUUUUCCAACUGCUAAAUGGGAAUGAAUUACUCCUGUUUUUUUUGUUUUGUUUUGUUUUGUUUUGUUUUUGUUUUUUUUUUUUGUUUAUUAAAGAAGGGUGAAAUAAGAAAAUGGCUACAGUAGGUGCCUAGAAGGCAUCUUGUAAAUCUGUGUUUCUGUUCAUCUUGUAGAACUAGGCUGUGGUAGUUCUUCAGCUCUCUGCUCAGAGAAAAUGGUCUGUGGUCCUGUGGGGCAGGUAGUCAUCUUACAGGUUCCUCCAUGAGCAGACCUACUGUGUGCUUUGCACACGAUGGCAACUGGUAGUGCUGUUCUGGCCCCGGGGAAGUGGUAGGGAUGGGCCUGGCUCUAACCUACUGGCUUUCUAUCAUGUUCUAACCAGGGCUCCCAUCCUCUCCCAGAGGCUCCAUUCAGAAGGUCCAGCCAUGGAGGAGGAGCCUGGCAGCACUGGGCAUGAGUAGAGGGGCAGGUGUGGGGUCAGUGGACCAACAACAUCCAGGAGACCCCACCUAGCCGGAUAUCCAGCUUCUGAUCAGGGAAGAUGAAAACGCCAGAGGAAGAGCCUUUCUCUGCAGUGGCAUUGGAAGGUGCAAAGAGCUACCCCGGAAACGAGGCACAACUCGCCCGGCUGCCGGUGCAGGAACCGCUCCCACCCCGGACCCCGAAUCCAGGAUCCCGCACCCCGCACCCCCACGCCGCACACACAGUACACGCCCGGCCGGCGGAGGGCUGCCAAACUCACGUUUUGCCCUGUUACGACUCUCCCGAUCCUCAUUAAAAAAAUAAAAAGAAAGAAUAAAAUAAAAACUCCCUUUAUUGUGCUCAA